CCUGCUCAAUGUAAUAAUAAAUAGCCGCAGAAUUUUCUGUGCUAAGGUAGCAUAAUAAUUUGUUCUUUAAUUAAGAAAUAGAAUAAAAGGAAUAACGAAUAAUUAACUAUUUUAAUAAUACAUAAUAAAAUUAAUUUAAAUGUAAAAAAGCAUUUAUUAUAUAAACAGACGACAAGACCCUAUAAAUUUUACUAAAAGUUUAGCUGGGGUGGCUAAUUUAAUAAAAACUUACUUAAAAAUAAAUAAAUAAAAAUUAAAUAUAAUAAAAUUACUAUAGGGAUAACAGCACAAUUUAAUAUAAAAGCUCUAAUAAAAUAUUAAGAUUAUGACCUCGAUGUUGAAUUACUUUAUCUAAUAUAAGAAAAAUUAUAUAAAGAAAGUCUGUUCGACUUUUAAAAAAGUACAU
rnacentral:rRNA from 1 species